AUAUUUGCGUCGCUUUUAUUAAUAGGAACAACACAUAUGAUAUUGUCAUUUGCGUCACUUAUUUAUUGACAAGCUACACAAAUAACUUUGUGAGUAAAUUGCGUCACUUCUUUCUUUAUGGAGUGACGCAAAUGACUAUCACUAUUAGUAGUCUUAGUAUGCAAUUCAACCCACUCAGCGCUGCCUUCGAUCCCAUUCAUUAUACAAAAAAAAACUCUCGCUGCCGUUCGAACUUCAAAACCCCAUCAAAUUCAACAGCAAAACCCCAGCAAAUCUGAGCCAAAAGCCCCCUUUUUCGAGCAAAUUCGACCCAAAACCCCCCAUAUCCGAGCCAAAAUCCCCUAUUUUCGAGCAAAAAAUCGACCCAAAACCCUCCACGAAAUUCGAACUAUGAGAACCGCAGAAAAUCGAGCAAAAUACCCUAAAUUCGAGCAAAUAAUGACUAAAAAUUCAAAUCAAAAGCUAAAAAAUUUCGCCCCCAAAAACCCUAGAAAUUUCGACCAAAAAUCCGAACAAAUUUGAGCAAUAAGCAUUGAAAUUCGACCUCCUAUAGCAGCUAGGGUUUAAACUCGGUUCUCUCGCAUUUAGGCUCUACAUUUAAUUUGGUGAAUUUGUGAAGUCGAUUUCACCCAAGGUAAGAUUGCUUCUUGUUUUUUCUUCACUAUUUUCAUAGAAUUUAGAGAUUGUUACUUGUUGAUGUUGCUGUUGGUGGCGAGCAGGGGCAGCAAUGGCUGAUUUAUGCGGUGGCAGCACUGGUGAGGUAGUAAAGAUUUGGGUGGAGUGGAGUAGCUCGUAAAGUUGCUGGAGUUCUCGCUCGCCUGCUUUGUUGAGUUCGAGGGGUUUUUGAAUUUCUCAUUUUAUGUAAACCUUGAUUUCACAAAAUCUACCACAAGUUAUUAUCUUUACUUUCUUUUACUUUGAUUAUCAAAGUUCGUCGCUUUUCCCUACAUUUUUCUUGUUGACACUUUUUAACAGUAUUAUUAGAUCACCCAUCUUUCAAUUUUUUCAGAUUUCAUCUACAAUUAAUUAUAUUGUUUCGAUUAUAUACUGAUCUUUGUGAUUUAUAUGUUCUACCCUUUAAAUUUUAGUGUUAAUUUUGCUAAAAUUUUUAGCUUUGACUUGAGUUAUGGUUCUUAUCUGAUUUGUAAAUUUUGAUUGAUUUUGGGAUUUUUGUUUUUAACCCUUGGUUUUUGUUUGAUUGUGUGGUAGAAAUUGGGGAUUGUUAAUGAAAUCUCUAGUGUUAAAUCGUACUCGUAGUAUACAUUAUCCCCGUGAGAUGCACGAUUUUAAUAAAAAAAGUUAUAGUAUAGAACUCGUAUAUACAAUGAAUAUUUUCAAAUUUUGUCAUAAAUUCAUUGGAAGGAGAUUUUUUAAAAGAAAUACAGUUUGAAUAUUUUAGGAAAUUUCUAAACGUUUGAAUAUUAGUGUUAAGGAAUUGAGGAGAGGGAAUGAGAGAUCUUUAAAUCAAAAGAAAGGAAUACAUUUGUCAUUUCAAUUUACUAUACUUUGGUUUCCUAGAUUAAAGUUGUUGAAAGAAUUUAAUUAGCUUGUUUACGAAGUAUCACACAAAAGAAAAAAAAAUCCUUUCAGAGAAAGAAAAAGAAAAAAAAAAAAAAAAAACUAUCACAAAAAGAUGGCAUCAUCAAUGGUUUUAGGUGGGAAAAAAUUUCAUAAAAAUGCGACACGUAUACAGUUUUGAAGAGAGAUAAUGUCAGCAAUGUUUUGUUUUAGUAAUAGUUAACAGAUCUGUGACUUAUAUUGGGUUUAAGAUCGUAGUGAUGAAUUUUAAUUUUAGUUGUUUUUACUUCUGAUUCCCUUUUUUAUUUUAUUUUAUUUUUUUAACUUUUACGCUUCUAGGUAUGAUAAUUUAUGGAAUUGUUAUCAUGAUUUUAUGGGUUUUCAAUUUACUUCUUUAUAUUGAUCCUGAACCACUCAAGUUGAUUGUGCUGCUAUCUUAUGUUUUGCUUUAUUAAAUUAUAUAAUUGAUCUGAUAUUAUCUUUAAGCUUCAUCAUGCUGCUUGAAAGAUGGAUAAUUUGCUAGUUAAGGUCAUUAGCUUGAUUUGUUUUUUUUUCCGUGCUGAUUUUCGAUGAAGUAUAGCUUAGUUUGAAUAUUGAUUAAUUAUGGAUCGGGGUUUCUUUAAAGCAAAUGGUUUACUCUGAUGUGCAACUUUUUCACUGAGGUGCUAACAUCAGACAUUUACAUUGGUGUUAGCAUCAGACAUUUACAUUUUAUGUAAACUUUGAUUUCACAAAAUCUAUCACUAUUUAUCUGUACUUUCUUUGGUGUAAGUGCAGCAGGUGGCUGGUGGUUUUUGGUGAGUGCGGUGGUGUGGCUGGGUGCAACGGCAUUUUGUUACGGAGAGCUCUUUUGUUGUUAAGUUGUUUGUGAAUUGCAGGGGAGAAUGUAAAGGUUUCUCUCUCACAUAUUCAGAUUAACUCUAAUCUUUUUGUUAUUCAUUGAAUUUUCAGGUUAAUUGUUCUAUAGUUUGAGGUACCAGUUGAUUUCUUACUCGAUUUCUCUCAUAUUAAAGGAAUUUUCAAGAACAAUACCUUAUACCGGGAGGAGAUAAAUGAGGUUUGAGAUAUUUGGUCAAACUAUUGUUUGAGCAAUGUUGAAAUUUAGAUUUAAACUAACUCCAUUUAUUUUUUAGACUUUUUUGCCUUAGUUCUUAGGCUUGAAAUGAAUGUAUUUUGGGUUACCAACAUUUUGGGUUGGUCUAUGUUCUUGUGUUGGUUGAUGAUACCAAUAAUGUUGAGUUGUAAACUUCUUGGCAGGUUGUUAAAUAAUACAUUGUCAUCAUUUCCAAA